rnacentral:rRNA from 1 species
AGCGAACGCUGGCGGCAGGCCUAACACAUGCAAGUCGAACGAACACUUCGGAGGUAGUGGCGGAUGGGUGAGGAACACGAGGGAAAGUGCCUAUUGGUUCGGAAUAACUCAGGGAAACUUGUGCUAAUACCGAAUGGGUCCAUCGGGGGAAAGAUUUAUCGACAUUAGAGCGGCCCGCGUCUCAUUAGCUAGUUGGUGAGGUCAUGGCUCACCAGGGCGACGAGCAGUAGCUGGUCUGUGAGGAUGACGAGCCACACUCGGAAUGAGACACAGCCCAGACUCCUUCGGCAUGCAGCACUGGCGCAUAUUGCGCUAUGGCGGAAAGCCUGACGCAGCCCUGCCGGGUGAAUGAUUACGGUAUUAGGAUAGUAAAAUUCUUUCCUCGCGGUCCAUAUUGACGUUACCCGCAGAAGAAGCCCCGGCUAACUUCGUG